rnacentral:rRNA from 1 species
AUUGAACGCUGGCGGCAGGCCUAACACAUGCAAGUCGAGCGGAGCGCCAGACGGGUGAGUAAUGCCUAGGAAUGUGACUUGUCGUGAGGGAUGACGUCCGGAAACGGACGCUAAUACCACAUCCUAUCAGCUGAGGCUAUGUCGGAUUAGCUAGUUGGUGGGGUAAAGGCCUACCAAGGCGACGAUCCCUAACUGGACUGAGAGGAUGAUCAUGCACACUGGAACUGAGACACGGUCCAGACUCCUACGGGAGGCAGCAGUGGGGAAUAUUGCACAAUGGGCGAAAGCCUGAUGCAGCCAUGCCGCGUGUGUGAAGAAGGCCUUCGGAUUGUAAAGUACUUUAAGUUGGGAGGCGUUACCAACAGAAUAAGCACCGGCUAACUCCGUGCCAGCAGCCGCGGUAAUUC